rnacentral:rRNA from 1 species
GAUGAACGCUGGCGGCGUGCCUAAUACAUGCAAGUCGAGCGAACAGACGAGGAGCUUACUCCUCUGACGUUAGCGGCGGACGGGUGAGUAACACGUGGAUAACCUACCUAUAAGACUGGGAUAACUUCGGGAAACCGGAGCUAAUACCGGAUAACAUGUUGAACCGCAUGGUUCAACAGUGAAAGACGGUCUUGCUGUCACUUAUAGAUGGAUCCGCGUCGCAUUAGCUAGUUGGUAAGGUAACGGCUUACCAAGGCAACGAUGCGUAGCCGACCUGAGAGGGUGAUCGGCCACACUGGAACUGAGACACGGUCCAGACUCCUACGGGAGGCAGCAGUAGGGAAUCUUCCGCAAUGGGCGAAAGCCUGACGGAGCAACGCCACGUGAGUGAAGAAGGUCUUCGGAUCGUAAAACUCUGUUAUUAGGGAAGAACAAAUGUGUAAGUAACUAUGCACGUCUUGACGGUACCUAAUCAGAAAGCCACGGCUAACUACGUG